AUGUGUGUUAUGUUUCUAUAUACAUAUUAUGUCCUCCUUCUAUGUUUCUUACGUUCUUUCUUCUCUUUAAAUUUCUUCCUGUUGUUGUCCUGGAGUGGAUUUUUCUGCUUUUGGAUUGCUUUAUGGAUAAUCAAAAAUGGCAAAACACUGAGAACUUUGGCUGAGCAUGAAGGGCUGUGUUCCAGGAGAGGGAGGGAGUGCCCACGGCUGUACUUGACUCCAGCAGGAAUCCUGUGUGUUCCCUGCUUGGGAGAAUCAGGCCCUGUGUUCCUGUCCUGCGGCCCUGGCAAUUGAUCUCUCCAAGGUUCAUUUUGUCCAUCAGUGAAAGAGUGCUCUGGAAGGAGACCAUGUUCCUUUGGCUCCCUUAAAGAAAUGGAACAGCCUGGAAACAGCAGGAAAGAGCGAGACCGUUGUUCAGAGGAGCAAGCAUGAGCAAAAGGCAGAGCCCCUGUGCAGGAGGAGGUUGUGCACCAAGUCACAGGAACAGGUCGUCCAGGCCUGUGCGGAGCCCAGAGUGGGAGCCAUCCGAUAGCUUCAAGACAAAAGGUAAAAAAGACUUGUGAAAAGCAGCUAGCAAAGGACUCCACGUGGCUUUAUUAAUGAUUUGGGAUUUUUUUGAAAACUACUCUAUGCCUUUUUUUUUUAACAGCUCGCUUUUAUAGUACUUGGUUUUGAACUGUGGAGUCUAACAAGUGCCUGUGCAAAAUUAAGUACACCUAAUUUAUGUAGGCUCUGAUCAGGACUGCAUAAAAGAACUGCAUGCACAAAAGCCCUAUUACCUGUAUUAGAGAUAUAGCUUACAUAUGUCACAUGGUAAUUAUGUGCCUAAGGUAUCAAAAAACCUGCACUCAAAGGAAAACUGAAAGUUAGUUGAAGGCCAACUUUGAGAAUAACGUUGCUGCUCACACCAAUAUUUCUGCUCCCUAGCUAACUGGAUUGCUUCUGGGAGGUGA